AUGCCUGUGAAAUCCAUUGCCUUGAGAUCUCACCUUGGGAGGCAGCUUGUUCUGCUGCCACACCUGAGAAAAGAUAUUUCAAAACUGCAAGAUUGGCUGUGCCUCGCCUUCCUCCAUGAUUUCCCCUCAGGGCUGCCCCUCAUUCUCUUUCAUGAUCUCCCUUUAGGGCUGCCCCUCCUUUUCCUCCAUGAUUUCCCUUCAUGGCUGCCCCUCACCUCCUCCAUGUUCUCCCCUCAUCUUCCUCCAUGUUCUCCCCUCAUCUUCCUCCAUGAUCUCCCCUCAUGGACACCCCUCAUGUUCUUCCAUGAUCUCCCCUCAUGGCUGCCCCUCAUCUUCCUCCAUGAUUUCCCCACAUGGACACGCCUCCUCUCCUCCAUGUUCUCUCCUCAUGGACACUCCUCACCUCCUCCAUGUUCUCCCCUCACGGACACCCCUCAUCUCCUCCAUGUUCUCCCCUCAUGGACACCCCUCAUCUUCCUCCAUGAUCUCCCCUCAUGGACACCCCUCCUCUUCCUCCAUGAUCUCCCCUCAUGGCCACCCCUCCUCUUCCUCCAUGAUCUCCCCUCAUGGACACCCCUCAUCUUCCUCCAUGAUCUCCCCUCAUGGACACCCCUCCUCUUCCUCCAUGAUCUCCCCUCAUGGCCACCCCUCCUCUUCCUCCAUGAUCUCCCCUCAUGGACACCCCUCAUCUUCCUCCACGAUCUCCCCUCAUGGACACCCCUCAUCUUCCUCCAUGAUCUCCCCUCAUGGACACCCCUCCUCUUCCUCCAUGAUCUCCCCUCAUGGCCACCCCUCACAUCCUAUAGCUGCCUCUCAUCUUCCUCCAUGUUUUCCCCUCAUCAUCCUCCAUGAUCUCCCCCCAUGGCUGCCCCUCAUCUUCCUCCAUGGUCUCCCCCAUGACCUCCCCUCACAAACGCGGCCAUUCCCCAUCUCCCCCGGAUCUCUCCCAUUCCAUCUCCCUCUUCCGGGGGGGGGGGGGGGGGGGGGGGGGGGGGGGGGGGGGGGGGGGGGGGGG
rnacentral:lncRNA from 1 species